GAUUAACGCUGGCGGCAUGCCUUACACAUGCAAGUCGAACGGCAGCACGGGAGCAAUCCUGGUGGCGAGUGGCGAACGGGUGAGUAAAGUAUCGGAACGCGCCCAGUCGUGGGGGAUAACGUAGCGAAAGUUACGCUAAUACCGCAUACGAUCUAUGGAUGAAAGCGGGGGAUCGCAAGACCUCGCGCGAUUGGAGCGGCCGAUAUCAGAUUAGGUAGUUGGUGGGGUAAAGGCUCACCAAGCCGACGAUCUGUAGCUGGUCUGAGAGGACGACCAGCCACACUGGGACUGAGACACGGCCCAGACUCCUACGGGAGGCAGUAGUGGGGAAUUUUGGACAAUGGGCGCAAGCCUGAUCCAGCCAUGCCGCGUGCAGGAUGAAGGCCUUCGGGUUGUAAACUGCUUUUGUACGGAACGAAAAGGUUUGACUUAAUACGUUGGACUCAUGACGGUACCGUAAGAAUAAGCACCGGCUAACUACGUGCCAGCCGCCGCAGUAA
rnacentral:rRNA from 1 species